CAGUCGCCGCGGGAAUACGGAGGGGGCUAGCGUUGUUCGGAAUUACUGGGCGUAAAGCGCACGUAGGCGGCUUGGUAAGUUAGAGGUGAAAGCCUGGAGCUCAACUCCAGAAUUGCCUUUAAGACUGCCGAGCUAGCAGGUGAGAGAGGUAAGUGGAAUUCCGAGUGUAGAGGUGAAAUUCGUAGAUAUUCGGAAGAACACCAGUGGCGAAGGCGGCUUACUGGCUCAUACUGGACGCUGAGGUGCGAAAGCGUGGGGAGCAAACAGGAUUAGAUACCCGCGUAGUCCCUGUCUCUUAUAC
rnacentral:rRNA from 1 species